rnacentral:rRNA from 1 species
GAUGAACGCUGGCGGCGUGCCUAAUACAUGCAAGUCGAGCGAACGGACGAGAAGCUUGCUUCUCUGAUGUUAGCGGCGGACGGGUGAGUAACACGUGGAUAACCUACCUAUAAGACUGGGAUAACUUCGGGAAACCGGAGCUAAUACCGGAUAAUAUUUUGAACCGCAUGGUUCAAAAGUUAAAGACGGUCUUGCUGUCACUUAUAGAUGGAUCCGCGCUGCAUUAGCUAGUUGGUAAGGUAACGGCUUACCAAGGCAACGAUGCAUAGCCGACCUGAGAGGGUGAUCGGCCACACUGGAACUGAGACACGGUCCAGACUCCUACGGGAGGCAGCAGUAGGGAAUCUUCCGCAAUGGGCGAGAGCCUGACGGAGCAACGCCGCGUGAGUGAUGAAGGUCUUCGGAUCGUAAAACUCUGUUAUUAGGGAAGAACAUAUGUGUAAGUAACUGUGCACAUCUUGACGGUACCUAAUCAGAAAGCCACGGCUAACUACGUG